rnacentral:rRNA from 1 species
UACGUAGGUGGCAAGCGUUAUCCGGAAUUAUUGGGCGUAAAGCGCGCGCAGGUGGUUUCUUAAGUCUGAUGUGAAAGCCCACGGCUCAACCGUGGAGGGUCAUUGGAAACUGGGAGACUUGAGUGCAGAAGAGGAAAGUGGAAUUCCAUGUGUAGCGGUGAAAUGCGUAGAGAUAUGGAGGAACACCAGUGGCGAAGGCGGCUACCUGGACAGAAACUGACGCUGAGGCACGAAAGCUAGGGGAGCAAACAGG